rnacentral:rRNA from 1 species
ACGAACGCUGGCGGCGUGCUUAACCCAUGCCAGUCGUACGGUAAGGCCCUUUCGGGGGUACACGAGUGGCGAACGGGUGAGUAACACGUGAGUAACCUGCCCACAACUUUGGGAUAACGCUAGGAAACUGGUGCUAAUACUGGAUAUGUGCUCCUGCUGCAUGGUGGGGGUUGGAAAGCUCCGGCGGUUGUGGAUGGACUCGCGGCCUAUCAGCUUGUUGGUGGGGUAGUGGCCUACCAAGGCGGCGACGGGUAGCCGGCCUGAGAGGGUGACCGGCCACAUUGGGACUGAGAUACGGCCCAGACUCCUACGGGAGGCAGCAGUGGGGAAUAUUGCACAAUGGGCGCAAGCCUGAUGCAGCAACGCCGCGUGCGGGAUGACGGCCUUCGGGUUGUAAACCGCUUUCAGCAGGGACGAAGCUUUUUGUGACGGUACCUGCAGAAGAAGCACCGGCUAACUACGUG